GCCCGGGUAGCUCAGCUGGUAGAGCAGCGGACUGAAAAUCCGCGUGUCGGUGGUUCAAGUCCGCCCCCGGGCA
rnacentral:tRNA from 1 species